GGAAACCUAGCUACGCGGCGGCGAUAAUUGGGCGGACACGCAGUAGAAAUAGAAAAAGUGGAAGGUUCAGGCUCUUGCUGGAUUGUGUCGUAGAGGAUUUCGAAGCAUCGCAGAAAGGCCCAGCUGUUGGUGUGGAGUUGACUAGGAGCAACAUUAAUACUAUGGAGCACGGAGCAAACAAAUGGGGAAAAAGGAAACCUGAUUCCCAAACUCGUGAACAUGUAUCCGUAUGCGUAGAAGAAAUGGGGGCCACCCACAUGAUAGUCCUGAGGACGAAGCCAAGGGCGCUCGGAGGCUGAGCAAACUCCGUAAUACAUAAGGUUGUCAAGGGGUUUCUCGUGGCAAAGCCCACCGGACUCAGAAGAAAUUUCGCAAAUAGACGACCACUGCUCCAAGCUAGACAGUUGGUUAGGCACCGUUCCGGCGGGAAGGGCUCUCACUCCGGGAGCUGGCAAGGACUCCUAAGUCCUCGUUCGGAAAGCAACAACGUCUUUUUCUUCGAGCGAAACUCCCCCCGGGGGGGGGGGGUUAACUAGAGUAACGCAGCGUAAGGGGGAGGCGACGGUGACGCUGCGAUUAGAGUUUCUGGUUUGACAUCUUGAUGUCAUUACGAAAAGGAUAAAGGUUAUCUCAAUGCUGGGAAGACUCGCCAGAAAGAGGGGCGGAGCGUGGUAAGCUACGAAAACUAAGGCAAUGGCUUAUGAAGGGGGACCUAGGAAGUCGCGGUGGUAAAAGAUCAAGGAGGGAGAGGAACAACAACUUUCUAAGCAGGGUAUGAUGAUUAAGGGGAAACGUGUGAAGGGAAGCUAGGAGCAGUUGUUGGGAAAUGUGGGGAAAAGGUGGGGGAUCGUGCCUCAUAACAACGGAAAAUGAUUGCGGUUGCGGGUUUUCAGGAAGUGGAAGUGAUGCAGUAAGAGGAAAUUGCAAACGGAUAAAGGUGAUUAGCCCAGUAUCCGAAC
rnacentral:lncRNA from 1 species